CUGUGUGGCACUUGAUGCACAACUAGUUUGCACCCCUCCCGUCUCCUGUGUCGACAGCAGACAGAUCCUCCUCCAGCCUCUUUAAACUGCUUUCACCGCCACACAAACGACAUUUUGGGGGUUCGGUCUCUAGCCCUCCGUCCUCGCACCCCUCAUAUCUCUCUGUGUGUUUCGGAGGGUAUUUCUCCUCUGUCGGAGCGUUUGGAAUCGAAACGAGCAAACUGAGCUGCUAACGUUUCUUCAGUGGGCGGAUAAAGCGGAGGAGGGCAUCCGGGCCCGGCUGCUCCGGAGAGUCGGUUUGAAACGACGGAAUUCACCAUUUUCAGGCUGUGCACUGCCCUGCUAUGGAGAAGAUGAAGAGGAUUAAGAAGCGCCUGUCGUUAACACUCCGCCCCAGUCAGACCAUCGACGAGUCUCUGUCUGAACUGGCUGAGCAGAUGACCAUCGAGGACGGCGGCACCAAGGACAAUGAGCCUUUCAUGAGGAACGGCCGCCCCCCCACCUCGCACAGCAUGCACUCCUUCCUGCACCAGUACACCGGCUCCUUCAAGAAGCCCCCCCUCCGGCGGCCACACAGCGUCAUUGGUGGCACCCUGGGGUCCUUCAUGGCAAUGCCACGCAACGGCAGUCGCCUGGAUAUUGUACAUGAAAACCUGAAGAUGGGCUCAGAUGGGGAGAGCGACCAGGCAUCGGGAACGUCUUCAGACGAGGUGCAAUCUCCAACCGGCGUCUGUCUGAGGAGCCGCAUCCACCGGCGGAUCUCCAUGGAGGACCUCAACAAGCGCUUGUCUCUCCCUGCUGACAUCCGAAUUCCUGACGGUUACCUGGAGAAGCUGCAGCUCAGCAGCCCCCCCUUCGACCAGCCGCUCAGCCGACGCUCCCGCCGAGCCUCGCUGUCGGAGAUUGGUUUUGGCAAGUUGGAGACGUACAUUAAGCUCGACAAACUAGGAGAGGGAACCUACGCCACAGUAUUUAAAGGACGCAGCAAGCUGACAGACAACCUGGUGGCGCUGAAGGAGAUCCGGCUGGAGCAUGAGGAAGGAGCGCCAUGUACCGCCAUCAGAGAAGUGUCGUUACUGAAGGACCUCAAACACGCCAACAUCGUGACGUUACACGACAUCGUCCACACUGACAAGAGCCUCACGCUCGUCUUCGAGUACCUGGAUAAGGACCUGAAGCAGUACAUGGACGACUGUGGAAACAUAAUGAGCAUGCACAAUGUGAAGGUUUUCUUGUUCCAGAUUUUGCGAGGGCUGUCGUAUUGUCAUAAGAGGAAAGUUCUCCACCGGGACCUGAAGCCCCAAAACCUCCUUAUCAACGAGAGAGGAGAGCUCAAACUGGCUGAUUUCGGUCUGGCGAGGGCAAAGUCCGUCCCGACUAAAACCUACUCUAACGAGGUGGUGACUCUUUGGUACCGGCCUCCUGAUGUUCUCCUGGGAUCCUCCGAGUAUUCAACACAGAUUGACAUGUGGGGUGUUGGUUGUAUAUUCUACGAGAUGGCUGCAGGUCGGCCACUGUUCCCCGGCUCUACCGUCGAGGACGAGCUCCACCUCAUCUUCAGGUUACUGGGCACACCCACAGAGGAGAACUGGCCGGGAAUCUCAUCCAUCGAAGAGUUUAAGUCCUACAACUUCCCCAAAUACAAACCGCAACCGAUAAUCAACCACGCUCCCAGGCUGGAUGGUGAGGGCAUCGAGCUGCUGCUGGCUUUCCUCCGAUAUGAAUCCAAGAAGAGGAUUUCAGCUGAAGAGGCGAUGAAACAUUCCUACUUCAGGCCGCUCGGGAUGAGAGUUUACACACUGCCUGAGAGUGUAUCAAUAUUCACGUUAAAAGAAGUGCAGCUGCAGAGAGACCCCGGCUACAGGAGCUCUUCAUACCCAGAGUCAGUUUUAAGUUUCAAGCCUGCUUGACCCCAAACCCCUGACAUCAUCAGGGUUAUCUUUUGUUUGGGGUCAAACUGUGGAAAGUUCUCUCCAGAAGCAUCAUACAGCCCUUCACAGGCUGAGCAAGACUCCGUACAAGUAAACCGAACUUCCUGUGGAACAUUGGUGGUGCCUUUAAACUGUCUAAAAGGUAACGGCAAGAUCAACAGGAGGCAGAGCAUGCUCUUCUAAGGUCUGAUGAAGAGGAUGGCCGACUGCCCAACUUCAUCACGUCCCACCAACCUCUCGCAUGAGCCCACCUUCCCUGUGCGGAGUGACUCGCCCCGCCCCUCCCAACGCUCUUACCUGCACACACAUAAAAACACACACACACACACACACACACUCCUCUGAAUGAGUGACUCAUGGGUUGAAUCUGUUUGGAGAUUGUGUUUAUUUAUUGGGGGGUGAAAGGAUGAGGUUGAAUUUUUUGCUGCUAAACUACUACUGUCUGUAUUUAACACACCGUGUGUGCGUGUGUGUGUGUGUGUGCGUGUGUGUGUGUAUACCUGAUGUGAACUCGAGACGCCAUGCACAGUUGAGCAGUCAGUAAGGUUACUGUUGUUUUUCUUCUGACUACAAUUCUCCGGCUUCGUUUGAGUUAAAAUUCCACUGAUGUUGAUGUUGACGCUGUGACAAGUUGUUGUUCUUGUUGUCGUGCUCGGAGACCGAAUGCUUCAGUUUUUUUCACAUUUUUUUUUUAUAAAUAUAUAUAUAUAUAUAUAUAUUUGGAGUUUAUGUUUUGUUUUUCCUCGAGCUUCCGUGACUGAAGUCUACAACAUUUCCAGAUUUAGAAAGACUGGGACGCUAAAAGGUCUUGGAUGGGGAAAAAAAUAUUCCUCUGGAUUUCUCUGCAUAAUUUUUCCAAAACGUUUUAGCCAGACUGUUCUUCUAGAGGGCCUGCUGCCUCUGGGGUGGUUGCACUGAGGGUUAAAAAAAAUGGACUGCGAGGAGAUUGUGGUAACAGCUUUGGACUGUGGGUUAAAGAAGCACACACAAGAGUCCAAUCAAACUGGGCGAACAUGAGUUCUUCAGUUCUUUUGGUCAUUCUGGCUGGGACCAAAACUGAGGAGGAGGAGGGAGGCAAACAGUUGGGAAGACGAGCGAAAAGCACAGAUGAAAGAAGAGGAAUACUGGAGCUGAACAGGAAGUCACGUGAGGUCCCACAGGAAGCCAGCAAGCCUUCCCAAAAACCCUCACAAAACUGCCAGGACUUCAUUUCUUUAAAAAAAAAGAAAAUGAUGCCAGCUACACUUUCUCGCUCUUUGUGCAUUCAGAGAUCUCACUGCAGUAACUUUGUUUUUAACUUGCACUUCAGUGUGUUUUUUUGGAAUCAGGGACCCUUGGCCUCAACAAGGCCGAGUAUACCCAACAGUAUUAAGAUGUGUUCUCUGUGUCUGUGACCUUUGGCCUCUCCUUGUGAAACAACACUGUCAUUGUGGCAUGUUUUUUGGAGGGGAUCGGGGUGGGGGUAGGGGAAAUGGUUGUUUUCCACUUGGCGUCGGACCACCGCUCUCUCCAGCAUUUGUACACAAGGAAAAAAAAAAAUUUCAAAUUGAAAUGUUAGAUUUAACUGCCCGUUGUGUUGUUUGCAACUGACAGUGAUGCUACAGGUGAAGCCUGUUGAGAAUUCUCACUUUUUCCUGCGUGUUUACUGAAGCAAAUGGAAGAUCUCCUGAAAACACUUAAACACUAAAAUGUCUACUGGUGUGCUUUGCAAUCCUGGUUUAAUUUAGUUGCAGUGAGUAUUUGUCUCAUUCCUGUGGACCAACGAAGAUGUAGUCACUUCAGCACUUCAGCAGUUGUGUGAUUGCAAAAAGUGUUUCAUUCACUUUAAGGAUAAGUUUGACAAUAUGCUUACUCACUUUCUUGCAAGAGUUAGAUGCCACUCUAGCAUUGGUAGAAUGAAUAUGAAGCCAGGAGCCUGUUAGCUUAUCUUAGUAGACAAAAAUUGGGGAAACGGUUAGGCUAGCUGUUACCCCUGCCUACUAACAUCUCUAAAACUCAAAAAUUAACAUGUUAUCAUUUGUUUAAUUUGUAUAAAAGAGGAAGAGUUUUUACACUUUUUUUUGUAUGAAUUAAACAAACAAGAUGUUAUGUUGGUUAGUGAGAUUUAGAGGUGCUGUUGGGUAGAUAUUGUCACUUUCAGACAGAACCAGGAGAGCUGUUUCCCCCCUGUUGCUAGUUUUUAUGCUAACCUAACCUAACCAGCUGCUCGCUCCAGCUUAAUGUUUAUUGUACAAAAAUGACAGUGGUGUCGAUCUUCUCAUCAAACUUUCGGCAAGAAGGCAAAUAAGCCCAUUUACCAAAAUGUCAGACUGCUCCUUUAAAAUACUUUCAGAAUCAAAGGGCAAGAACUCCAGAGCUGCCAUUUUGCUCCAAAAUUCAAAAGGUCACACAGGGAAAAAUCCAUCAUGGAAAAGGCAAAGAGAGCACUUUCUACACUCACAGUAGCAAAAAAUAGAAGUGAGUGUAGUGCAUGAGCUUCUGCACUAAAUAACACUAGGAAUGCAUUGAAAAUCACAGGUUGAACACGUAAGUGUGUGAGAAGAUCUGAGGGAGAUUUUCCUGUAACUGCAGCUCUUUUGCUCAACGUCUAAAUGAAAAUGUCACAUUGUUUGACAUUUAAAGGAUUCGAGCAACACUGAAGUUCCCUGUUCCAACUAAUGCUUGAUAAACUCAAACUUAAUAUCUGAGAGAAUUAAUGUAAUAAACAUUAACUUUAUCAGUUUGCAGCUAAUAGUGUGACAUACUGUAAUUCUCAUCAUUUCAUUAGCUAUAAACCUUUGACAACAUGGAUUUAUUUCAUCAGCUCAUUAAUUGAGCUUAAAUUUAAAUUCAAUGCAUACAGUAACAUCAGAACAAAUAUAGCUGGAAGACUCCAUUAACGGUUUACAUUUCAAAUAACGUAACUAUUAUUGUGUUCACAGGAAACAAGUCAUUGUAUUAAUGGUAGACGUCCUGGACUACAUUGACCUGAUGCCACUUUUUUCUCCCUGGGUAGCUUCAAAAAGAAAACCUUUUUCUUCCCCUUACAUUUCACAUGCACUGUAUUUGCAUAUAUGGAUGCUUCACUUAAACCUUGAAAACGUUAUGUCGGCACAUUUCAGACAUGAGAAUGCAGCAUUAUUCCACUGUUAACUGCAAACUGUGUUUCUGCCAAUGGUGGCUUUUUCACAUGAACAGCAGUGACAUGCAUGAAAGGAGAUUUCUACAACAGAUAAAUAUUUAUCAUUGUAAAACUUUUUCAAGUGUAUGAAAGGCCUGAAUUUAUGUGAACAUGUUUGAACGCGUAAGUGUGUACGUGUGUCUGUGUGCCUGAUGCAUGGAAGGCCUGCUUUGUUGUGAAUUCGACCUCUGAAACACUGAGCUGCCGGUCAACAGUUGGUGUGUGACUCUUUUUACUGGAACUAUUUAUUUCUCAUAACCAUCGGAAGUAAAUUUAAUCUGUUUCAUAAACAGUCUGUGCAGCAGUCAUUCUUCGAAUGGUGAAAAGAGUAUGUAUUAUCAAUUAAAAGGAAUGUAGUAA